rnacentral:rRNA from 1 species
GUGUCAGCCGCCGCGGUAAUACGUAGGUGGCAAGCGUUGUCCGGAAUUAUUGGGCGUAAAGAGCGCGUAGGCGGGAAGGGAAGUCUAUCUUAAAAGUGCGGGGCUCAGCCUCGUGAGGGGGUAGAAACUCCUUUUCUUGGGUGCCGGAGAGGAAAGCGGAAUUCCCGGUGUAGCGGGGAAAUGCGUAGAUAUUGGGAGGAACACCAGUGGCGAAGGCGGCUUUCUGGACGGUGUCUGACGCUGAGGCGCGAA